rnacentral:rRNA from 1 species
AUUGAACGCUGGCGGCGUGCUUAACACAUGCAAGUCGAGCGGAGCGGCGAACGGGUGAGUAACGCGUGAGUAACUGCCCCCCUCUCUGGGAUAACAGUUGGAAACGGCUGCUAAUACCGGAUAGUGGGGGAUGACGCGCGUCCUAUCCGCUUGUUGGUGGGGUAGUGGCCUACCAAGGCGAAGACGGGUAGCCGGCCUGAGUAGGCGACCGGCCACAUUGGGCUGAGAUACGGCGCAAACGCCUACGGGAGGCAGCAGUGGGGAAUAUUGCACAAUGGGGGAAACCCUGAUGCAGAAACGCCGCGGGCGGGAUGACGGCCUUCGGGUUGUAAACCGCUUUCAGCCAUGACGCGGUAGUGGCAGAAGAAGCACCGGCUAACUACGUGCCAGCCGCCGCGGUAAUUC